rnacentral:rRNA from 1 species
CCCUUAGAUGUUCUGGUCCGCACGCGUGCUACACUGAGUGGAUCAGCGGGUCAGGUUGCGCGAAAGUGUUUCCUAAUCUUGAAAUCCGCUCGUGAUGGGGAUUGACGGUUGCAAUUUUCCGUCAUGAACGAGGAAUACCUUGUAAGCGCGGGUCAUCAUCCCGCGCUGAAUACGUCCCUGCCCUUUGUACACACCGCCCGUCGCUCCUACCGAUUGAGUGGUCCGGUGAGGCUUUGGGAUCUGAGCGGAAAGAGCGUUUCGCUGUUUCUGCUCGGAAAACUCAGUCGAACCUUAUCAUUUAGAGGAAGGAGAAGUCGUAACA